AUGUAUAGAGAAUAGAUGGAUUGCGUGCUAACCUGAAAGUCUAGCGAGGAAUCGAAGCAUGCCAGCGGCGGAAGACCAGCAAUGAGCCGCGGUUCCAGCGACCAGAAUUCCACCGGCGAUCGGCAUUUGUGUUUUCCUCC